CUUGCAGCCCUAAUGAUGUCUUUUGAUGUGCUCCUAAGAUACAGGACCUCCUCUUUAGCAUUCUGCUUGCUGUGCCUGCUUUAACCAGUGGGCUCCCGAGGAGGCUACAACUCAGUGAAAAAAAUAACAACUCCAACGGUACUGGAAGAAAUUGGCCUGACUGCAUCAGCAGCCUUACGACAAACUGGCGAGUGUGCGGAUACUCGCUUGAGUAAAACAGUUCGAGCUGCCCCGGUUAAUUAAACAACAGUGAAAGGCAACGUGAUAAAAAAGUUAUGGAAAACACCAUGGCAGCAUCCAGGGGGAUGGAAGGGCUUAUUGAAACCCAUCACGUGUCCAGAGAAUGGCCCACUCUCGCCCACCAGUACAUCAGUCAGCUGGUCUUCAAGGAGCGAACAGUUCAUGAAGGGAGCUUUGGAAAAGCAAGCACGAACACAGCUUGUCCAGAGAAAGGAAGAAAGAGAUCAAGAAGUUAUGGUAGCUGAGUAGGAUUAUCAUUAGGGGAAGCAUAGCUCAUCUAAUCUCUUAUAAUCUACAGUCACUGGAAAAUGGAACCUCUCAAAGAAACAAAAGUACAUGCUAUUCAGUCACAGACGGUCCACAAGAGACAAAAGGUAUCAUCAUUAGGAACCCGAUGCCCAGGACUUCCCUCUGCAAGGUUUCAUUGAGGGAGGAAGACAGUGCUUGCUUGGUAACAGGAAAAAAAAAAACUUCCUGCACUAACUCAUCCACCCUCCGAGUUUGGGGUCCCCCAGAGCCAUUAAAUGGAACCGAACACACAGAAGCACACUGGAAUUCUGCAUAACGCAGCAGCAGCAGCCACCUGAGCAAAGCCGUAAACUGUGCCUUGGAUUGUGCAAUGGAAAGCCACUGCCCAGCAGGAAAAAUAGAGGCCCAGCAACAGGGCUCUAACUCUGCCACUGCCCUAUGGAUGGCUGGAUCAGCAUGGCACGUGUAUUGCCCUUGCAACUCUGCAUGGAAGAAAGGAUAGCACUGUGGUUAAAGCACUGGAUAGGGAUUCUGGAGAUCAGAAUUCAGCAGGCAGCUCUGCUACAGAUUCCCUGUAUGACCAUGGGCAAGGCACUUAAUCUGGCUGUUCCUCAGUUCUCCACCUGUGCAAACAGGGAAAUGCUGGCUCUC